AUGAUUGUCGAGUGUAAAGGGUUACCUUCAAGUAUAAGGAACAACUUCUUGGCAAGACCACUCAGGAAGGCCUCCAGAUCAUUUUUCUUCCCAGUCAACUGGCUAACUUUGUCGGUCAGGGCAGCUUUGUCAGUUUUCAGUCGACUGACUUCCUUGUUGGCGAUCCCAAGAGCAGCUUUCAGAUUGGUAUUUUCUUGUUCGAGCUUGGUGACUGAAGCUAACUUCUCGUCAGCAAGCUUGAUCUUCUCAGAUAGCUCAAGGUAUUUUUUUCUUCUGGGCCUCCUUCACCUUACCUGCAAGUUACAGCAAGAUCAGAUUUUGAAACAAAUGAAGGAAAAAAGCAGUCGUCGAGGUCUCACCAAACAUACCUUUGGUCUCCUCCUUUGCCUUCAUCAGAUUCUCCUGAACCAGCUUCAAAUCCAGCUCGAGCUGAAUGUGCUUGUUUUCCAGCUCGGUGUAACGAGCCGCAAGGUCACAGGAUUUCUGCGAAGAACCAAUCGACAAAAUGUUAAAGAUAAUUCACUUCCGAGUGGAAAAGAAAAAAAUCAUGUGUUUCUAAGACUACAGCCGAAUACAAGCAUUCGACCGUAG
rnacentral:rRNA from 1 species